rnacentral:rRNA from 1 species
GAUGAACGCUAGCGGCAGGCCUAAUACAUGCAAGUCGAACGGUAAAUAUUGUAGCAAUACGAAAUGAGAGUGACGUACGGGUGCGUAACACGUAUGCAACCUACCCAAAACUGGAGUAUAGCUCGGGGAAACCCGAAUUAACCCUUCAUAGUAUCACUGGAUGUCAGCAUUUGGUGAUUAAACAUCAGGUGGUUUUGGAUGGGCAUGCUGAUGAUUAGCUAGUUGGCGGGGUAAAGGCCCACCAAGGCGAUGAUCAGUAGGGGAACUGAGAGGUUGAUCCCCCACACUGGCACUGAGAUACGGGCCAGACUCCUACGGGAGGCAGCAGUAGGGAAUAUUGGUCAAUGGAUGCAAGUCUGAACCAGCCAUGCCGCGUGCAGGAAGAAGGCCUUCUGGGUUGUAAACUGCUUUUGCCAGAGGAUAAAAUGGGCGUGCGCGCCUAAUUGAAGGUACCUGGUGAAUAAGCCACGGCUAACUACGUGCCAGCAGCCGCCGUAA